rnacentral:rRNA from 1 species
AUACCCGUGAACUUAAGNAUAUAAAUAAG